rnacentral:rRNA from 1 species
GUGUCAGCCGCCGCGGUAAAACAUAGGGGGCAAGCGUUGUCCGGAAUCACUGGGCGUAAAGGGCGCGCAGGCGGUAAAUUAAGUCAGGUGUGAAAGUUCGGGGCUCAACCCCGUGAUUGCACCUGAUACUGAUAAACUAGAGUGUUGGAGAGGUAAGUGGAAUUCCUAGUGUAGCGGUGGAAUGCGUAGAUAUUAGGAGGAACACCAGUGGCGAAGGCGACUUACUGGCCAAUAACUGACGCUGAGGCGCGAAAGCGUGGGGAGCAAACAGGAUUAGAUACCCUGGUAGUCC